UCUGACUCCUGGCAUCUGUAAACAGCCCGCAAGGGAGCAGAGCAGAGAGGUUAAAGCUCCCUCGCCGCCUCGGAUUAGAACUCUGCCACCUGCCAAAGUGAAGCCCCACUGGACCCCAGGGACAGAGCCACACCAGCUCUCCAGGUAGGGAGACGGGGUGGACAUUUAAUAUUAAUAAUUUGUGUGUCUGUAAGUGUGUAUGUGUGUGUGUGUCUGUAAGUAUAUGUGUGUUUGUCUGUGUCACAUGAUGCCAUGUUCUGCGGAAAUGUCUGGCUUUGGCUUCUGGUAUCCAGUACUCUUUUUACAAUUCUUGUCUAGUUUUUCUUGGUUUUCUGGUUUUCUAUUCUAUGUCUGGUUUUCUUUAUGCUGGGUUUCUAGGUUCAUAUUUAUAUACCAUCCCUGCAUUUCCCAGUCUCUUAGAUUCAUUUAAAUGUUUGUUUUAUGUUGCCACACCCGUUUGUUUUCCAUUUUCCUUUUGUUUCAGUCUAGACCUGCAGGCAGCUGCUCAAGCCUUCUGCCCUUUCUUGCAGGUAAGUGCUAUAUAUGUGUUUCUUAUGGUUCUUUUAGUAUACGUUAGGCAGAGUAGGACCUGCCGAAUAUGGGGUACAUUGAUGUUGUUGGCAGGCUUAUGCAAUGUAUGAUCAUAUAAUGUAACUAAAUCCCCAUACUUUUCAUAUAUAGUGCUUAGUUAUGUCUCCUCUUGUUUUGCCUAUUAAAUCUUGUCUUGUUUUAUUUUGUUACCCCAGUCCAUGUACAGUCCUGUCCUGUCCUGCCCCUGUUUAGUUAAUGUUCCCUU